rnacentral:sRNA from 1 species
GAUCUUCAGCCCCUACCUCAGGGGACUACUAUGAACUUGACUGAGAGAGUGAUCCGUGCAGAGGAACCUAUAUGUAAGCAGCUUUGAGAACCUAAUAGAAAUACGCCACUGCCUGACCACAGCUACUGGAUUUGUCCCCAUCCCCUACAUCACUGGACAAAACUGCCCUCAAAAUCUAGGAAUUAAAAGAAGACAUUUGGAACUUAUAUGAAGAAAACAGCAAGGACCAGAAAAGGAAACACACAGAUCUACCUACCGCCCCGCGAAGGAAGGAGGCCAAGACGGUAGCUGAGCGAGGUUCCUGGUUAACUUAACUCACAGUGACUGGCUUGGGGCAGCUCCCAGAAGCAAGCUCCUUGAUGAGUUUUGGAUUCCUUCAGAAACCUUAACCGGCUUACCAGCCCCACCCAGACAUGACAGACCCAGACUGCAGGUUCAGUGGGAGGAAAGCUUCACCUACCAUUCCUCAUUCUGCCUUCAUGUGUCACAGCUCCCACAGGUCUUAGAUGCAGAACACCCUCUGGUCCAGCUGAACUCCCGGGUCCAGGUGAGUUACACUGUCCUCACAGGAUUCCUUAACAUCUGACCUCCCUCCAAGAGCCUCAGGCUUUCUAACCUUCUCCGUAAUCCUGCACCUGUCCAUCCCCCAAAAUGUCCUGGUUCGCUACUUACUUGGGCUUCUCUUCCCUACAAGUUCCGAGCUGAGAGGGUCGAGUCCAUGUUUUACAACAGUGCUGUCACUGGCCUCUAGCCAAGCACCUCUCUUCAGGACCCACAAUGGCCGCUGAAGGUCCAGCCCAUACACUCGAAGACCAGAAUUAUACUUCGUUUUGUCAAAACCCUUUAGAACCUGGAGUCAGUCCUGUCUGUGUAUUUGCAUAUCCAUCAGAUAGAAGCUCCCAGAAUCUCAUGUAGCUAGCUACUUUGCAUAAUUACAUAUCCCAUCAUAAAUUCUACAAAGAAACUCUGAGGUGGUGUGCGGUAUGAAAAGGAAGUAAAAACGGAAGCUGCUUUCUUCUCGUGUUAGGGGUCACGUGACAAAUUCUCAUGGUGCAAUGCUAAUUAAUGUAGCUUUUCAACAUCCAAUUUCCAAAGUAGGGGAUUCUGGGGAGCCUUAGAAAGUUUUCUUGUGAGUGGUUUAGCUGCAAUUUCUGUAAUCUGAAUUCUCAAAACAGUCAACACAUCUUAAUAUGUUGAAAAAUGGUCCCGUUUAUUUGCGCCUUCCUGCCUGCCUUCCUGAGUUCAGCUGUGCCUCGCUGGAGGCCAGAUGUCCCUUCCCCAGAGUACACAGAAUAACAGCUGCCCCAUUGCUUCCCGAUUGCUGGUAUCAACUGGUAUCAACACCCACGGCCACCUCUCGUGGCAGGUGCUAUCGAUGUCCACGUCUGAGGAAAGACAGGCUAAACUUAGAUAACGAGUACAGUGACAGAGGCUAUCUGGAUCCAAGAGCCUAUCUCUCGGCCACUAAGGUCACGGCGUGACCUUCUGGGAUCUUAGGCUAUUUUAGUAAUUAGGAAUGUGCUGUUUUCCCUCUCUAAAGGCAGCGGACUUCAUUCCCCGUGAGUCAUUCUGUAGAAAAGGUGAUUCACUGCACACACCUUUUCCCAACUCAGGUCUCCCUUCUCACGGUCAGCGCAGGGGCGACAUCUGUGUUUUUCCUAAGCUUUACAUCUCUCAGACCAACAAGCAGCAGGCUAUGGUAUGUGAUACCACGAGUGACUGAUUGCUCGCCCUGGUCCCUGGUGACUUAAAAGAAGGGCAUUUCCUGGAAAUGUGGGGGCUGGACAUUUCAUUGUCGUGAAGUAUUCAGAGCUCGAGUCACUGUCGUUGCCCGGUAACCGGGAGGUUUGUGUUUGGCAGUGGAAAAGGCAGCACAGCCCAGGUACAGCUGAUUAUUUACUCAGUGUGACCUUCUCCCAGCUCCACACUCACUCUCGGAUUAAUGCUUAACCCCAACCCCUUUUCCUUCUUUCCUGGCUGGUAAUGGAGGCUCCUUCAGUCAAGAAAAUUCAAAUGGGAUAUGCUGUACAGACAAUACACCCAUUCCUCGGAGCUGAAGGAAAGGUGGGAUUGGAACAGGAGACAGGAUUCCUGCUCUUCCAGGGAGAGUGAGUGGAAUUCUACGGAGUGAGGAAGUGGCCUUCUUAUCACGAUUUUACCAGUGAGUUUCUGUCUCAUGAACUCAGCUAACACAACACACUCCCAAACGGUACUGACUCAUUAAUAUUGACCUCGAAAUCAAAAAGGCUUUUCCCUUUGUUUUUUGUUUUUGUUUUUGUUUUUUGUUUUUUGUUUUUUUUGUGAGAAGACCAAGUCAUUUGGUGGAAUGACUUGAAACAUUAUUUCACUUUUUUCCCCCCUUACAUCAAGAAUUGUGGGAUCCAAUAUGAGCAGCUUUGGAACUGAAAGACUUCUUGUCCUCAAAUACCACUUGGGUGGCACAGCUGGCUAAAGUCAUCUUUACUGAUUUCUGUCUCGGGAUUCAGGGUGGAAGCUCGUGAUGUUAGCAGGGAAUCCGCCACAGUGCUUGCCUAGCACACAAUCCCGGAUGAAGAGGAACCUUCAGCGCCCCCGACCCCAAACACUCUGAGCUAGAAUCCUAUAAGGCUCCAACCAUUUUUGCCUUUUCCUGUGAUUAGAGAAGUGAUUCUUUGAGAAUCUCAUACCUGAACACCAUGAAAGAGGAUCACGUCCGUUCUUCUUCUACUUUUUAUUGUCAGAUUCUCCACUUUCCUGAUUAUUUAAUGUUCAAAGGAAAAGAGUUGCUAAUUUAUUUUUUUUACCUGAAAACAUUUAUAUGUAUCAGAUACAUGAAUGGGUUUGGAUGUUUUUGUUGGUAUUUCUAUAUUUAAGUUUCCAUUUUGAGUGUUCUGGGUCUUGUUUCCUUCGAAUGUCCUUAAUUUCAGUGAACGUGUCUACACGCACACAACCAAGUAAGACGUAAUCUUCGUCUCUGUGGAAAAGCCCUAGAUUCUAAGUUUAUUUACCGUUUUUGGAUGGAAGGAUACAAAAGCAAUUUUAGAAAAAUUUCUUCUUUUUUCUUGCCGCACACUAUUCUUUGUAAUCCUGGGUUUUUGGUAUGCCUUUUACCCAUAGGCACCAACAAUCACUCCAAGGAAAAUAUUGGCUUUACUUUAUUUUUGACAGCUAUACAGCUACACAUGUAUAGACUUACUUAGCAAUUUUCAAUUAAAAUAUUAACUUCACAAAUUCCCCCUCCAACACCUCCUAUGCCCCCUCUCAAAUUCAUGACCUCUUUUGAAUUAUUACUUUACACACAUAUAUAGGUAUAUGAAUAAACAUAUAAAUACAGACUGGUAAAUGUGUUGCUAAACGUUGCUUAGGUGUAUGUUUGUAGGUCUGAUUGUCUUAAGCACCAUGUUAAACCUUUGUCAUCUUCAAACAGUGUUCUUGCAAAAGACAUAUUAAAAAAUUCAUAAGAUGUUUAAAAAAAAGAGUACUCUUAUGACCCAAAACUGGCUGUGUUUAAAAUUCUUAGCAAGAUAUAAAGGGUGUGAAUUAUCCCUCAAAUGUCUUAACCUUGUCUAAGGCAAAUUUCCUUUAAAUAGAGUUCACAGCUGAUAGGUGGACUCCUUGUGGCCCUAAAGAAGAAAUGUUUUGGUUCAUGUGUAUCGCCGGGGCUUGAAAGCUCGGGCAGUCCGUUUCUCUGAGUUUAGAUCUUAAGAGAUGAAUCUGCCUGCAGACACCUAAUUUAAAAUUAUGAACGUGUUAGUACCUGCUUCACAAAGACUUUAAAAGAAUUCCCUUCCUCUGGUUGAUGGGGGCUCCUCCUUGUCAUUUGUGCACAGGGCCCUGUCCAGGACAGUGAACGGUUUGUUGCCUGUACACCUGGAGAACCAAAUGAGCACUGACUGUCUUUCUUUCUUUGGAAAGGUGUUUAACCUUCACUUAGGCAUCUUUCCAUUGCGGCCAGAUGAACAAGAUAGCCUUUGUCUCCUGUUUCACAGAGCCUGCAGAAUGUGGGUGCGAAAAUGCACAAUUCACUAUUACACAGGGAGAUAAACAAAUGUUUGGGUUAUCAAAAGUUCAGGGCUAGAGCAACCCAGAGCCAAGGACACAACCUUGUUCAGAAAGUUCAGGGAAGUCUUCUUGGAAGAAAGGCUUUUUCAACUCAGACCUGAAGGACGAAGAGGAGUCAUGCUCGCUCGAGAGGGGUCAUCUGAAGCAGAAGGGAUAGUCUUUGCAAAGGGGGAGCUAUACGCUGACAAACAGUAGGCGAGUCAACAUGGCCGUGAUGAGUAAAUCUGGACCUUAGGUAACCCAGAAGAGAAGACAUCUGAGUUUUGCCCAAAGAAUAAUGGGAUCUUGGAGGUAACAUUCUCUAUUUUGUAUUUUACAAAAAUCCCAAAUAUGAUUCUGGACAUGACCAUCAGAUCAUUGCUACACUAAAGAAUAAAUACACAGGAGUCUAUGUUAAAUGGUUCCCUGCGGUACCGGUGAGAUGUUACCAUGUGUGAGGCUCAGGAAAGGCUGGUGGCUAAUGUUCAGCUGCGAAACGAGGAAGGCUUGAAUUCAAAUCCUAUCCCGUCAUAUUCUAUAAAACCACUUAAUACUGGGGAAAGUCACCUUGAGGUAACGUGUGUAAAACCCCACAAAUGGCGGCGGCCACAAUGUCACCCAGUGUCCCUUCCCAACCUCAGAGUGAAUAAUGGCUGCACGUCAUUCAGGGUCAGCUGCUGUGAUCAAUCUUCACUGACCGAGUUUCGAAUCACACUGGAAACAAGAUGCUGAGCGUGUCUGUGGCGAUAUUUCCAGAACGUUAGAGGGAAAACCAACUCUGAGGCCCUACCAUAUGAACCGGGGUUCCCAAAUGGAAUGAAAGGAGAAAGUGUUGGGCAUCAAUAAUUCUCAUUGUCUCUCAUUCUCUCUCUCUGCCCUCUCCCUUUCCCUCCACCUCCCCCCAUCUCUCCUGUGCCUGUGCCUUCCCUAACAUAAUGGGAUGUCUCUCCACCAACUGAAACCAACCCUUUCUUUAAUGAGCGUCUUGACUGGCAUUUGAUCUUAGUAGCCAACAAUCCGAAAAACCAAGCUAGUGAAUGGCAAGGAUUCAAAACCACUGCUCUUGACUCCUGAAAACGUAACCUGUUCGUUUGACCUUUGCCAAAGGGCCGAGAAAUGACAAAACAUGUGAAUUCUUAGACGGGAAUGUUGCUUAGUGGUGGAGUAACAAUUGGGUCACCUGACAGUAAUAAGGCAAGCAGACAGAAUAUCUUAGCGACGUCGACCAUCUCCCACGAGCAGCCUCAGUCCAGGGACUCACAGGAGGCCUUGCAGAACUUAGCAUUCGGUAAUAUCCGCCCCCUCAGUGGAAGAUAUGAAGGAAAACCAGCGGAGGGUAAAAGGCCAUGGGGCCCCUACAAGUACACAGGCCAUUCCUUCAGACACACAGGAGAGAUGUCAUAGACCAGGAAAUGCCUUGGAAAGUCACUGCUUAUGGCUUUUAUUCAAGCUGUCAGUUAUGAACUCUCCAGGCACAAACGCCAGACCCACACUCCCAUGAGGAAAGCCAGUGUUCAUGAUCAACCUUAGUCUUGGUUCAAACAGUGUACACACCGAGAGCCACUCUUAUCAGGAUGUGGUGGAGACUUUCCCCAAGCCCAAGCUCCACAUUGCCAGCUGUGGUGGCUUUGAAUGCAAAAUGUCCCUUAGUUACUCGGGUAUUUACAAACUUGGUCCCCAGUUGGUGGCGCUGUUCAGAGGUUUAUAAGGUGCAGCCUUGCUGGAGGCUGGCUUUGAGUGUUUAAAGCCUUCCUCAGCUUCCAGUUUGCCCUUUCUGCUUUGUGCCUGUGGGCGAAGAUGUGAGCUCUCAGCCUUUUGGUGCAUGCCUCCCUAGCAAUGGACUCUCUGGUACUUCAAGCCAAGUAAACUUUUCCUUCUAUGAUGCUUCCUUGCGUCUGUGCCUGGCAGUGAGUGCUGUUGGUCAUGGUGUUUUAUCACAGCAAUAAAAAAGUAACCAAGACACCAGCCAAAGGACUGACCGCACAAGCAAGAUGUUGAAGGACAGUAGUCUCCGGCCCUUUCUGUAACUCAGCUGUGUAUACCGAUGUAUUUCAAUUGGCUUCAAUAAUGGACAGCACUGUAGAGCGAAGGCCUCACUCCUCAUAGGCCACCUAAGUACACCGAGUAUCUCAGAAACACAUUUACCCUCUAUGCUUAAAGGAUUUAAAGUACAACAAUUGACUCAGAACUCUGGAGGCAGAGGCCAGUAGAUCUCUGUGACUUCCAAGCCAGAUUGG